GCCGUUGUAGCUCAGAUGGUUAGAGCGCCGGAUUGUGGAUCCGGAGGUCCUCGGUUCGAUCCCGAGCAACGGUACCA
rnacentral:tRNA from 2 species